GACGAACGCUGGCGGCGUGCCUAAUACAUGCAAGUUGAGCGCUGAAGGUUGGUACUUGUACCAACUGGAUGAGCAGCGAACGGGUGAGUAACGCGUGGGGAAUCUGCCUUUGAGCGGGGGACAACAUUUGGAAACGAAUGCUAAUACCGCAUAAAAACUUUAAACACAAGUUUUAAGAUUGAAAGAUGCAAUUGCAUCACUCAAAGAUGAUCCCGCGUUGUAUUAGCUAGUUGGUGAGGUAAAGGCUCACCAAGGCGAUGAUACAUAGCCGACCUGAGAGGGUGAUCGGCCACAUUGGGACUGAGACACGGCCCAAACUCCUACGGGAGGCAGCAGUAGGGAAUCUUCGGCAAUGGACGAAAGUCUGACCGAGCAACGCCGCGUGAGUGAAGAAGGUUGUCGGAUCGUAAAACUCUGUUGGUAGAGAAGAACGUUGGUGAGAGUGGAAAGCUCAUCAAGUGACGGUAACUACCCAGAAAGGGACGGCUAACUACGUG
rnacentral:rRNA from 1 species